rnacentral:rRNA from 1 species
UCAGGAUGAACGCUGGCGGCGUGCCUAACACAUGCAAGUCGAACGAAGCACUGGAAACGGAGAUUCGUCGAAGUUCUUUGACUAGUGGCGGACGGGUGAGUAAUGUGUGAGCAACCUGCCUUUCAGAGGGGGACAACAGUUGGAAACGACUGCUAAUACCGCGUAAUGUAUGAUGGGGGCAUCCCUGUGAUACCAAAGGAGCAAUCCGCUGAAAGAUGGGCUCACAUCUGAUUAGCUAGUUGGUGGGGUAACGGCUCACCCAAGGCUGCGAUCAGUAGCCGGACUGAGAGGUUGAACGGCCACAUUGGGACUGAGAUACGGCCCAGACUCCUACGGGAGGCAGCAGUGGGGAAUAUUGGGCAAUGGGCGAAAGCCCUGACCCAGCAACGCCGCGUGAAGGAAGAAGGUCUUCGGAUUGUAAACUUCUUUUAUGAGGGACGAAGGACGUGGCGGUACCUCAUGAAUAAGCCACGGCUAACUACGUGCCAGCCGCAGC